UCAAGCUCUCACAGCGCUCGAGGCGCACG
rnacentral:sRNA from 1 species